rfam:Triticum aestivum genome assembly, contig: Triticum_aestivum_CS42_TGACv1_scaffold_592403_7BS
AUCUUUGCGCUUGGGGCAAUGAUGCAGCUAGUGAGGUUAUACCGAGGCGCGUCAAUUGCUGGUUGAAAACUAUUUCCAAACCCCCACUUUGGCCCUCACGGGUCAUCGAGAAUUUCUGGAAGGGCUCCCUCUCCUUGGAGAGGGCAAGGCC